rnacentral:rRNA from 1 species
UAAGGAAUAUUGCUCAAUGGGAGAAAUCCUGAAGCAGCAACGCCGCGUGGAGGAUGAAGGGUCUAUGACUUGUAAACUCCUGUAAAGAAGGAAAAAAUUCCCAUUUGAUGGGAGAUGAUGGUACUUCUGGAGUAAGCCCCGGCUAACUACGUGCCAGCAGCCGCGGUAAUACGUAGGGGGCAAGCGUUGUCCGGAUUUACUGGGUGUAAAGGGUGCUCAGGCGGAUUUGUAAGCCAGAGGUGAAAUCUUACAGCUUAACUGUGAAACUGCCUUUGAUACUGCAAGACUAGAGUAUGGAAGAGAGUGAUGGAAUAUCUGGUGUAGCAGUGAAAUGCGUAGAUAUCAGAUAGCACACCAAUGGCGAAGGCAGUCACUUGGUCCAUUACUGACGCUAAAGCACGAAAGCGUGGGUAGCAAACA